CAGCGUUAGUUUCUAUUAAUGGCUCCAUACCAUUCGUAUGCAGUCGGCCAGACUCUUCACAUUACCAUGAGUCGGCAGGCACAGCAGAUGCAUCCCGGAUGCAAGGGAGCGAGUGGGCUGAAAGUGUGACGUGCACACACACAUACAAGAGACCCUCCACUGCUGCGAGACACCGCAAGAGCCAUUCCCUGCCCUCAACGAACCAGCCGGGGUCAAGUUGUUUUUCUAAGCCACGAUCCCUGUCGCCUCGGUCCUGAAGGAUGUGUUCCCUGAAGCUGCCCCUUUUAAAGCAUAUACAUGGAAAGCAAAAUAUUUUGUAUGCAUUGUUUUAAAUAGGCUCUGGUGUUUCAGGGGUCUGUAUUGACAGUUUGUUCAUGUGUCCCAGCUCUGGCCGUUCUCUGUUCAUAAUGUUUAUGUAUUCUACUUAAUAAAAACCUGGACUGUCCCCAUGGACUGCUGCCAAGAGUUGAUUCAAUAUUAAAAGUUAUUAAAGCUGUGCUUUGUUCUCACUCACAUUUCCCAUCUGUUCUUUUCUAUGUUCCUGUUAUCGGAUGGUACAAUCAAAGAAACCUUUAUUUCAACACCUACAAUAUGAUAUUAUGGAACGUAUUGUACUGUACUCAUAUUCACAGAAACAUUAAAAAACAGCAGAAGGUCUGACCUUUUGUGUAAUGCUGAUGUAGAAGAAGGUAGUGGAGACCAACACGGGUGUUCAGAUACCUGUAACGCCCGCUUUCUCUGUUCAGGCACUGCUGGCACUCUGACCUCAGUUUAAAGUAUUGACCUAUCAAGUGAGUCCAUGACACAGUGUGGUAUUCAUAGAGUCCAACGGUUGGUGCUGUGACUAUCAAAAAGCAUUUCUGUCAGGAAUCUUAAUCAGCUCCACCAGUGUAGUUCUGAGUUUGAAUCCAAAGUUGAGCGUCUUUCUCUUUGCUUUUCGUACAUGUGUUGGUCUCUCACUUAUAACAUUUACAUCUAUAAAUGUAUUGCCUCAUUUGUAAAGUUAAUCUUCAUACUCAAUAUUACAACUAGGCUGUGUAUGUCCUUGCUGUGGACGUUGAGAACCUUUAUCACAGCUCCAUGAUGUGGUCCACAUCCAUACCACACGUCUUUUUUAAUGCAUAUUAUUACGCUUUCAUGCACAUGAGGGUACAGACAAGACAAAACCACCAACAAAGAGUUAACGAAGGAUCCAUCUCGUGAAUGGUGUAGAGC
ensembl:lncRNA